GAGACAUGCAAGUCGUGCGGAAAGGCCCUAGCUUGCUAGGGCACUCGAGCGGCGAAAGGGAGAGUAACGCGUAGGUUACCUACCUCCAGGACCGGGAUAGCGGCGGGAAACUGCCGGUAAUACCGGAUGACGUCUUUGGACCAAAGGUGUGAUUCCGCCUGGAGAGGGGCCUGCGUCCUAUUAGCUUGUUGGUGAGGUAACGGCUCACCAAGGCAAAGAUGGGUAGCGGGUGUGAGAGCAUGGCCCGUCUCACUGGGACUGAGACACUGCCCAGACACCUACGGGUGGCUGCAGUCGAGAAUCUUCGGCAAUGGACGAAAGUCUGACCGAGCGACGCCGCGUGCGGGAUGAAGGCCCUCGGGUUGUAAACCGCUGUCAGUUGGGAGGAAAGGAGUGUGAAGAGCACUCCUUGACCGAUCUUCAGAGGAAGGACGGGCUAAGUUCGUGCCAGCAGCCGCGGUAAGACGAACCGUCCAAACGUUAUUCGGUAUCACUGGGCUUAAAGCGUGCGUAGGCGGCUUGGUAGGUGUGAUGUGAAAGCCCACGGCUCAACCGUGGAAUUGCGUCGCAAACCCCCAAGCUUGAGGAAGACAGGGGUGUUGGGAACUUAUGGUGGAGCGGUGAAAUGCGUUGAUAUCAUAGGGAACACCGGUGGCGAAAGGCGCAACACUGGGUCUUUUCUGACGCUGAGGCACGAAAGCUAGGGUAGCGAACGGGAUUAGAUACCCCGGUAGUCCUAGCCGUAAACGAUG
rnacentral:rRNA from 1 species